rnacentral:lncRNA from 1 species
GCCAGCCAAGUACCCUGUUUUGUUUUUAAAGACCGAGGAAAUCAAUGUUUAAUGGCUUCCCGUCUCUUGCCCCCGUACAACUUGAAAAUACUGCAGUAGCCUACGUGCCCAUGUCACCAACCCAAGCUCCCUUGUUACUCCCUUACCCUCACUGGGCACCUUGCUUGUCCAUAUGCUCCUGAAGCUUGCUCAUACUCUCCUGCCUCAGGACCUUUGAACAUGCUGUUCCCUCUGCCCGAAGGCUCUUCCUCAAGAUAGCCACAGCGCCUUGUCUCAUUCAGAUCUCUUUACUCAGAUGACUCUUUACUCAGAUGUCACUUUCUCAGGUGAGCUUUCCCUCAUCCCACCUCCCCCAACCCCUGAACCUGCACACACUCUCCGCUCUUCUGUCUUUUCUGACGUUUUGUUUGCUUUGUUCCUCCUCCCCCAACAUUUAUUGCCUCCUAAAGUACAUCUAAGAGUACUUAUUUCCUCCAUAAGUGACUUAUUUUCCUGAUUAUUUGCUUUCCGCACUAGAAUGUGACUCCUACGUGAGUCACACAGAAUGUGAGGACAAGCUUUUGUUUUCUUCAUUUAUCUGCACCAGUAACUAGAAGGCAGUCCGUACACUUUCACGGAAGGAAUGAAUGAAGGAAUGAAGGAAUGGGCAGCGCCCGAAACGGAGCGCAUAUUCGCCAGAUUCCAAACGACCCCUACACUCUCUCGGAACCGAACCGCCGAAGGCGAAGGAAGGCUGCAGGCCUGCUCGGGUCGGCUCUGCGGCGCGAUCGGGUUCUCGGCCCCCCGCGGACUCCGUUUCUGCGGAAAGUCGUACCCCCGUUCCGGGCUCUCUCUCUGGGGGAACCUGGGCCCUCCCUGGGGCGAGCGACGCCGGAACUUCCGGAGGGAGAGCAGGAAUUCCUGCGACCCAGGCCCAGCCGAGAGUGAUCUCCACACCCAACAUGGGGCUUGAACUUACAACCCCCGCAAAUCAAGAGUCACCUGCACCACCAACGGAGCCAGCCAGGCACCCAGAGGACCACAGCUUUGACAACGAUCAACCCCUGCCCAGGGAAUGGGGUGGGUGGGGAAUAUUAAAGCAUAUCUAUGUGCCUGCAGUUUAUUUCCUUCUGUUUUAAUCCCAAGCUUCUGUAGACUUAAGUUAAUACACGUUUGUGGUUGUCAACACAAGGAAAAGCCUAUACCGCUGGGUCUGGUAUUUAUAGAUGUUCAAUAAAUGUUUACUGGAUUUGAAUACAGAGCUUGUUUGAUCAGACCAGUGUGGUGUUUCCAUAGUUUCAUGAAUUUUUUUUAAAUCUCAGGGAUUGUACCAUUUUUCGAUGCUCAGAAAAAAUUUCCUUGUACCCGCUGUAUACCAGGCACUGUGCUAGGACUGGGAAUACAGAGGGGACCUAGAUGUGGACCCAGCAUGAAUAUAAAAGCACAAUCUGAUCUGCUAAAUUCUGAGAUGGAAUCAAGAAGCGGGCCCACUAGUUC